GUGGACGGCCCGUCUAUGUCUACCAACUUUUCUCCAAGAAUAAGAUGAAGAGAGCGGAGGUGAUGCCGAGACAGACCCUUUCCCCCCACUUUCCUGCCUCCUAGUCUCAGAUGCUCCACGCGGGAUUUGGACGCCCUCUGAGGGUUCUUCCUCUUCUUCUGACUCAAUAGCAGUUCAAUUAGGAACCAUUAAACUAUUUUCCUGGUGUAUGUCUAAAUUAUUUUAAGUGUGUGUUCCUAACACAGAAAUACAAACAGCACAGUCUGUAUGUUAAUGAUUUAAUGCUGUCUCCACCAGAGGCAUCACUGCCGAAGAAAGAUUGUCCACCCAACAUCUUUGGUAGUCAUCCUGGGAGGCAAAACUUUGGAGAUGAAAAGAAUAUAAGAUGCCAUUCAAAUCAGCAGCUCUGGAGAAAGAGGACUGAAUCAGUUCAUUCUGGGAACUAAGCUGAAUGGAGUCCAGAUCACCCUCCGUUUCCCAGCGUUGUGUCUUGUCUGUCUCUGUGGAUACUUAAUGUCCUUCACUAAUGUAUUUGGCUAGUCUGUUCUUGCUAGCACACCUGUAGACUAAUUUCUACAAAUUCAGAUCUUACAAAAAGCUGAGUCUUUAACUUCAUGCAAUGGCAGAGUUGUGACAUCUUAGACUCAUUUUCUCCCAAAUGGCUUUCUGCUGCCCUCAACUGGUAGUGAGUCAUCAAUGCAGUAAAUCUCUGCAUUCAUGCUAACCCCCAGCAUUGUUUGACUCUAAAGGAGAUGUAGAAAAAUUAUUAACCACAUUACAGAUGAUUUUUAUUACAGAGAAAAAAAUGGAACUCAGAGGUUUUUAAGGUGUCCACCUAUUAUUCUCUAUUUCCUCAUUUUCUACCCAGUUGCAUGUGAUACAUGAAGAAAAGUAUUUGGCCUUUUCUUCUUUCAAGUAUGUGUGUGUGCCAGAGUAUUUGGAAGGGCUGCUUAAUUAUCAAAUCAAGAUGCAUUUCAGCUGGUGUAAUACCUAGGAGAUAUUUCUGUAAUUAGUCAUAAGUGAUGUUAAGUAUUUUAUCUCUAAUGUUAUAAAGAGACAGAGAAUUAUAUAAGGACCAUAAA